UUUUUGCAGAAAAGCUAUUAAGAGGUCAAAAUUAAUGCUUUAGAAGAGUAAGAAAUAUGUCUGUCAGGUUUAAUAUGAAUAUAUCUAUAAACCUGGCAACCAAUGAAAGCUCAGCCUGUGGAAAGACUGGUCUGUGUUUGGCAUUCUGUACUUCUUAAAACAUGUAUUUAUUCUGUGGGAGUUGUGGGUGUGCCCAGGGCAUAGGACAACCUGCAGGAAUUGGUUCUUGCCUCCCAUCAUUCCGAAGGCAGUGGACCACAGGUUGUCAGGCUCGGGGCUAGUGCCUUCCUGCUUAGCCAGAGAUUGUCAUCUAACCAGGUUAAACACUCUCUGACUACCUUACGCUUCUACUCGCUGUCAUCAGUUUCCCGGCCAGAACACAUGCUCAGGGAGACCAAGUCUUGUGUUUUCCUAGUGUUGUUUCCAGGGUCCAUGAGUAUGAAAUUUUGAACUUGUUGGUGCUUUGAUGGUGAUAACGGAGACAGAUGACCAACCAGCGGAGGGAUGGGAUUAGAGUCAAUGUUUAUACAGCCGCCUUUAUAAUGUUUAAUACAUAUGCAUUCAUUGUGUUUCUCCAAGUUUACAAUUCUGACGUGAUUGAUAAGCAGACUGACUCCGUGACAGCUGGAGAUGCACGUGACAAGGCUGUCAUUAUUUUAGUUCCUGUUAGACUCGGUGGAGAAAGGACCAAUACCGACUAUCUGGAGUUUGUGAAGGUAAGAGGGGCUCAGUUCUCCUUGUUUUUAUGUUCAAGGCAGUAGUACCUAACAUAAAAUAAAAAAUAGAGAAGCGUUGCAGUCUCUUCUCCACAAGUAAGUCGUGACCCCACAGCUAUACAUUGUGAAGUUUGGCAUCAGGCAUUUUAAAUUUCAGCACUGAGAGAUCAUGUGUGAGUCGGAAGAGCAUCUUUCUAUGACGGUGUGAAAAGCCUUCCAGUCUACACUAAUUGAUGGCGUGCAGGAGAGGGGUUUGCAAUAUGGCUACUACUCUAGGAUCCUUUUCUGAUUAGAAAUAUAUUUAUCUUAGUUAUUCCUAAAACUAACACUAAACCAUGUCAAACUAACCAUCAAAACACACUUUUAAAAUCGCUACUGUAUUUCAUAACUUAUUAUUGUGACACUGUGGUGCCAGAGAGGAACUGCUUAUAUAAGCAGAAGUGAGGUAGUAUGGCGGGCCCCACUUCCCUUUCUUAAGAAGUCUCUUCAAUCCCAUAGCAUAUAGUUGUGUUUCUUGACCUAAAAGACCCUGUCUUGUGUUAGACACUAAGACCUUCAGUUUUAAAGCAAUACUGAGUAUUUGGUUAAGUUUGUAUCUUUACUAUUAUUUCAGCUUUAAUAAAAUGACUUUUCUUCUUGCUGUGAUGGAACACUUGGCAGAAUAAACUUUAGGGAGUUGAAGUUUGUUUUGAUUCACAGUGCAGAGGUGUUGAGUCCUUAGCCUGCAGGUGACAUGUAGCCCAGGGAAGCUAUGAAUGCUAACCAAGCAAGACUGGAAGCUUACUUAAGACACUAUGAGAUUUUUUUUUUCCCUUUUCUUUUUGCUUUGGUAACUGGAUUGCGUGGUCCUUUAGUGUGAACUUUGGUGGCGACAAUGUUGUGUUGCGAUGUCACGCAGAACAGAUGUGGCUGCACACAAUCUUCUACUUGCAUGUCUGUAAUGUCUUCCAAUUGCAGACAGUCCGAUUACAGCACCAGACGAUGCAUGUGCUUGUGGCGACUGGAAGAGUGCAACCUGAGUCGCCAGUAACACUUUAAACAACCACUGCAGAUAGCAGGCCUUUAGUGUUACCCAGAAGACGGAGUGGUAUUCUUACUCAGUGAUCAAGGUUGCGUCCACUCCUCAGCUGUGUCUCCUGCCCUGCCCACCAGGCUUCCCAGCUGGCUUCCCUUUGCACUACACCAGCACCUGGGAUACAGAAGGACCCUGACCUUGCUUCCUACUUUCCUACCAGUUACCUUUUAUGGUCAGAGUAAAUAUAGUCCCCUCCGUGUUACUGUGUCUAAGUCCUAGCACUGCUUUGACAGUGUCUCAAAGGAAAACAGAACUGGGGCUAGGGAGACAGGUGGCUUAGCUAGUCAAGUCCCACGAGGACCCCAGUUUGAACCCUCAGUGCCCACAGAAAGGUUCCUGAACCCCAGUACUGGGGAUGUGGACUUGGGCUUGAUGGCCAGGCAGCCUAGCCAGUCAGCAAGUCAGGAACCUAGAACCGUUCAAAUAUUAUGAGGGUUUGUAAGCAUAGACUACAACCAUUAGUUAUCAAAGGGAUAUAUGUAUUUAUUGAUUUGAAAAUUGUUCAUGGCAUAAUGAAUGCCAAAAAAGAUCAAGUAGCAUGGGGCUGGAGAGAUGGUUUAGUGGUUAGGAACACUGACUGCUUUACCAGAGAACCCAGGCUCGGUUCCCAGCUCCCCCAUCAAGCGGCUCACAAUUUUCUGUACCUCCAGCCCUUGGAGUCUAAUGUCCUCCGGCUUUUGUAGGCAACUACACAGAUACAGUGCACAUAAGCUUACACAGGCAUACGUAUACACGUAGAUUUUUUUUUUAAAUCCAGAAAAAGAAAGUACCAUAUCCAAUGUUUAGCCACAUAAAAUUGUACUAGUAAGUCUGUGUAUGUAACAUUGGCAGAUGUCAAGGAGAUAGUCCCCCACAUUUUAAUAAUAACGAGCUCUAAGCUGGGUGUGGUGGCACACACCUGUAAUGCCAGCAUCUGGGAAAGGGGAGGGACAGGUUAGUUCAGGGUCAUUCUCUGCUAUGUAGUAAGCUUGUGGCUGUCCUGGACUGCAUGAGACAUUGUU
rnacentral:lncRNA from 1 species